GGGGGUGAAAUAGCUUCGACAGCGGAGGCUGAGUCUGUGUGGCAAGCCGCGGCGCCCGAGGCCGCGUGACCAACGGGCAAGCACGUAAGUGCGAACAACAACACUCCGGCUUACGCCUACGCCGCCUAAGCGGCCAUAACGUAAGUCGCUGACCCAAGAUGGUCAGCCGUCCGUCCAGAUCGUCGCCAUCCGGUUUGGUUUGCGGGCGUCAUAAAUGAUAGGCGUGCGUUCGUCUGACGCCGAUAAAGGCGAACUAAGUGACAUUGGCUGGCUGUCCGCGUACCGGGUCCACUGGGGUUACGGAUAGCAAGACUCAACAGGGGACUACGCUUGUAGAAGCACUUGCUCGAAUCUGUUGGACGCGGGGGGCAGAACCCGCCACCUCCAUCG
rnacentral:tmRNA from 3 species